AAAAAAUAUGUCCAUCUCUUACCACUGCUUGUGAUCUCCCAGUCACAAUUGAAGGGGGAUUCCUUCAAUUAAUGUCAAUAAACUCAUCAGGCACCUACUGUAUGAAUGUAAGGUCAUAAUAAGAGCAUGAAGUAAGGCAUGCCAAUGACAUUCUUAAUCCCUGUGGAGAAGAGGAAGUGGUCAUUGACUGUGCACUUGUGCGUGCCCAGACAUUCACACGUAGGACUUUGUUUCCCAUGGAGUCUUCACCAUAGACUGGGAGGCUGAUGUUACCCCUGUUUUAUAGACAAGAAGACUUAGAAAAGCAAACGGUGUGCUCAGGGUUCUCACAAUACUCAGCAGCUGAGUUGCUCACAGAUCUCCUGAUUCCAAAUCUAGGGCUCCAGCCACCCCAGAAACAAAGGUAAGCUCUAGAAAGUAGCACAGGAGAAGGGUCAGGACGCAGAUUCCUUGGUCCAUUCACUUUCCAUUGUGUCUUUUCUGUCUCUCCGUCUCUGUGUAUCUCUGUCUUUUCCUGUCCUCUCCCCUCUCAUUUAUUUUUAUUUUUUGGUUCCAGCCCCACUAACUCAAGGACCCUCACAUCAGUUCUAGAGCAGAACCAAUACCUCCAGAUAGAUGGUCCAUCCAGCAAACUAGCCAUCCUUCCAUCCAUCCAUUCACCCACCUUCCUUCCGUUCAUCCUGCCUACCCGUCUGUCCAGGCAACCUUCCAUUUUUAAGCCCCCUCUUGAUCCAUAUGUUUUUCUAUCUGUACAUCCACCCUUUCUUUAAUCCCUCUAUUCUUCCAUCUACCCAUCCAGCUAUCCAUCCUUCCACUUUUUAUCCAUCUUACCAUCCACAUGUCUUUCCAUCUAUUUACCCAUCCCCCAUCUUCCAUCUAUCCAUCUGUCCAUGUUAUCUUGUAUUUAGCCUUUUAUCCACCCAUUUAUCUUUCCAUCCAUUUUCCAUCUGUCCACUCAUUCGUCUACCUAUCCAUCCCUCCAUCUGUUCAACUGUCCACCUUUCCAUCCGUCCAUCUAUUCUUCCAUCAGUCUAUCUGUCCAUUUUUUCACAUAGCCAUUCUUUCAUCUAGCCAUCUUUCCAUCUGUCCCUAACACCUGUCCUCCCAUCCAUGCUGUUGUCCAUCCAUCUGUCCUUUUCCACACCAUCUUUACCUUCAUCUGUCCACGUAUCCAUUCUUCCUGCCUCCGUCUUCCCACCUGUCAUCUCCUCAUCAUGGGUAUUCUCAUCAUGCACACACCAUCCGUCCCUGGGUCUCUCCAUCUGUUCACCACUUUUCCACUUAACAGAUAUCAGGGAGAUUCUCUUGGAGGGGAUGCUGGGGAUGCAGGAGCACACAGGACGUGUUCCUCUAUUCAUGGAGCUCACGACCUAAUAAUGGAGAGAAAUGAGUGAUGAACAAGUCAAUGAAUGAACGAGCAUAAUUCCAGAUGGUUUUAAGUGUGCGGAAACCAGAACACGGGAUGAUGUAACAGAGCCACAGGGAGAGGAGAUCACUGCUUUAGAUGGGUGAUCAGGGAAGGCCUCUCUGAGAAGGUGUUCAAAGUGGUCAGCCAUGUGAUAAACUGGGGCUGACCAUCCCUGGCCCCAAAAGAACAGCCCAUGGCAGAGGCCGUAUGGCAGGAAGGAACUGGUUUAGCCUGACAGCACACAGAGGGAAGGCCACCUUUGGUGUUUCUGUGUGU
rnacentral:lncRNA from 1 species